rnacentral:rRNA from 1 species
AAAUGAAUAGACGGGACCCCGCACAAGCAGCGGAGCAUGUGGUUUAAUUCGUCGCAACGCGAAGAACCUUACCAAGGUUUGACAUGUUAGUGCAUAGUAUGGAAACAUAUGAAAUCGUAGUUUACUACGACACUUUCACAGAUGGUGCAUGGUUGUCGUCAGCUCGUGUCGUGAGAUGUUGGGUUAAGUCCCGCAACGAGCGCAACCCCUGUAUUUAGUUGCCACCAUUAAGUUGGGCACUCUAAAUAGACUGCCAUAGAUAAUAUGGAGGAAGGUGGGGAUGACGUCAAAUCAUCAUGCUUCUUACAUCUUGGGCUACACACGUGCUACAAUGGACGAUACAAUGAGAUGCGAAAUGGCAACAUGGAGCCAAACUCAAAAAAUCGUCCCCAAUUCGAAUUGUGGGCUGAAACUCGCCCACAUGAAGCUGGAGUUGCUAGUAAUCGCGGAUCAGCACGCCGCGGUGAAUGCGUUCUCGGGGUUUGUACACACCGCCCGU